GACGAACGCUGGCGGCGUGCUUAACACAUGCAAGUCGAACGGAAAGGCCCUGCUCUUGUGGUGUGCUCGAGUGGCGAACGGGUGAGUAACACGUGAGUAACCUCCCCUUGACUUUGGGAUAACUUCAGGAAACUGGGGCUAAUACCGGAUAGGAGCUCCUGCUGAAUGGGGGGGGUUGGAAAGUUUCGGCGGUUGGGGAUGGACUCGCGGCUUAUCAGCUUGUUGGUGGGGUAGUGGCUUACCAAGGCUUUGACGGGUAGCCGGCCUGAGAGGGUGACCGGCCACAUUGGGACUGAGAUACGGCGCAGACUCCUACGGGAGGCAGCAGUGGGGAAUAUUGCACAAUGGGCGGAAGCCUGAUGCAGCAGCGCCGCGUGCGGAAUGACGGCCUUCGGGUUGUGAACCGCUUUCGCCUGUGACGAAGCGUGAGUGACGGUAAUGGGUAAAGAAGCACCGGCUAACUACGUG
rnacentral:rRNA from 1 species